rnacentral:lncRNA from 1 species
CUGAAUCCUUUGCCUCCACCAUUAGCAACCUUAACAUUUGAAAUUGUUUGCUCUUUCCAUUAAUUUGGUAAUAAAUUAUGUAGUAUUGAAAAAUUCAGCCAGAAAAAUUGAAAAAAAAAAGACACAAAAAUACAAAAAAAAAAAAAUUAUACGCAAAAGGGACGAAAAUACAUACAAAAAGAUACACCAAAAACGGAUGAAAAGAAAAAUUUUACAAAAAAAAAGAGAAAAACGGACGAAUAUCUUUUUCUUCUUCAUGGCAACAAGGUCGUGAAGCUCACAUCCAGAUAAUCCUCACCAAACGACCCCUCUUUUUCCCUCAUCUCCAUAUGCAUACACAAUAGCCCUUUCCCCGCCGCAACAGAACAAUGUCCACUCCUGAACUCGUCGGAAAUGCACACACAACUGGCCGAAAAACAUGCCUUAAGAAUUCCUAGCAAAUCCGUUCGUGUGAGAAAAGUUUUCCAUCGAGGUCGAUCCAUGAACUUAACCUGCUCUUUCCAUGAAGGAAAAUCGAAGAAGGCGACUAAUUAAUGGGUCUUCUUUAAUCGACGGAGAAGACGACUAAUUAAUGGGAUCUAGGGUUUUUUGUGUUCUAGGGGUGGGUUAUUAAUUAAUUGGGGAGGGUUAUUAUAAUGGG